AAUAUUUCACAAUGGGGGCGACCCUGAGCCAUCCAUACCGCGUGUUUGAAGAAGGUCUUAGGAUUGUAGAGCACUUUAAGUUGGGAGGAAGGGCUUUAGGUUAAUACCCUGAAGUUUUGACGUUACCAACAGAAUAAGCACCGGCUAACUCUGUGCCAGCAGCCGCGGUAAUACAGAGGGUGCAAGCGUUAAUCGGAAUUACUGGGCGUAAAGCGCGCGUAGGUGGUUCAGUAAGAUGGGAGUGAAAUCCCCGGGCUUAACCUGGGAACUGCUUUCAUAACUGCUGAGCUAGAGUACGGUAGAGGGUAGUGGAAUUUCCUGUGUAGCGGUGAAAUGCGUAGAUAUAGGAAGGAACCCCAGUGGCGAAGGCGACUACCUGGACUGAUACUGACACUGAGGUGCGAAAGCGUGGGGAGCAAAC
rnacentral:rRNA from 1 species